rnacentral:misc_RNA from 1 species
UUUCCGUAGGUGAACCUGCGGAAGGAUCAUUGUCGUGACCCUGACCAAAACAGACCGCGCACGCGUCUUCCAAUCCGCCGGCGACAGCACCGUCCGUUGCUUGGCCAAGUCCUCGACCACCUCCCCUCCUCGGAGUGGGUGGGGGCUCGGGGUAAAAGAACCCACGGCGCCAAAGGCGUCAAGGAACACUGUGCCUAACCUGGGGGCAUGGCUAGCUUGCUAGCUGUCCCCCGUGUUGCAAAGCUAUUUAAUCCACACGACUCUCGGCAACGGAUAUCUCGACUCUC